rnacentral:rRNA from 1 species
GUCAGCGGAGACAGCACGUUGAAUGAAUCAGUUCUCAAUGGAUCACUGAAGUUAAGUAAUAUUGCGCGUGGUUACUAUCCGGAUGGGUGGCCAUCUGGGCAAUCACGUGUUGGCUUUUC